rnacentral:rRNA from 1 species
UACAGAGACUGCAAGCGUUAUUCGGAUUCACUGGGCGUAAAGGGUGCGCAGGCGGUUGGGUGUGUCAGAUGUGAAAUCCCGAGGCUCAACCUCGGAACUGCGUCUGAAACUACUCGACUAGAGUACUGGAGAGGGUAACGGAAUUCACGGUGUAGCAGUGAAAUGCGUAGAUAUCGUGAGGAACGCCAGAGGCGAAGGCGGUUACCUGGACAGUUACUGACGCUCAGGCACGAAAGCAUGGGGAGCAAAAGGG